GACGAACGCUGGCGGCGUGCCUAAUACAUGCAAGUAGAACGCACAGUUUAUACCGUAGCUUGCUACACCAUAGACUGUGAGUUGCGAACGGGUGAGUAACGCGUAGGUAACCUGCCUGGUAGCGGGGGAUAACUAUUGGAAACGAUAGCUAAUACCGCAUAAUAUUGAUUAUUGCAUGAUAAUUGAUUGAAAGAUGCUAUUGCAUCACUACCAGAUGGACCUGCGUUGUAUUAGCUAGUAGGUGAGGUAACGGCUCACCUAGGCGACGAUACAUAGCCGACCUGAGAGGGUGAUCGGCCACACUGGGACUGAGACACGGCCCAGACUCCUACGGGAGGCAGCAGUAGGGAAUCUUCGGCAAUAGACGAAAGUCUGACCGAGCAACGCCGCGUGAGUGAAGAAGGUUUUCGGAUCGUAAAGCUCUGUUGUAAGAGAAGAACGGGGGUGAGAGUGGAAAGUUCACACUGUGACGGUAUCUUACCAGAAAGGGACGGCUAACUACGUG
rnacentral:rRNA from 1 species